rnacentral:lncRNA from 1 species
GGAAAGGAAGGUAUCAAGGAGAAAAAGAAAGAAAAGAAAGAAAAAAGUUCAAUACAUUUUUAUAGUCCCUAUUAAGUAUGUAUUUGUUACAUUAAGUAGAAGAUACUGGUUUUUUUUGUUUUGUUUUGUUGUUGUUGUUUUUUUUUUUUUUUUAUAACAUUGCUGGAUUGCUGGUUAGGGAUGGGAAGGAAGCCAUUAAUGUCUUGAACAGGAAGGAAAUAGCUAUUCUAAAUAAUGUGAAUAAUUCAUGUGUUUAGUCUAGAUAGAAUAUAUUUUUAAAAUCUAUUAUUAGUUAAGGAUUUACUCUCAUUUCAUAAAUGACAUAAAUUUCUUCAGAGGGCCCUUGACUGACCUUUAGAUAUUAAUUAGUUGUUUCUAUCAUUCUUUUUAUAUCUUCUGUAUUCUUUUUUUCUCCUGGAAUUUUCCAUUUUUUAUAGUGGUGCUUUGAUUUGUGUGUUAAUUUGCUCUAUUUUUUUUUCUCUCCAUGUUAACCCACGAAGAUGGAAAUCACACACUCCUACCUUUCUGUUUAUCUUCUUCUUUUUUUUAAACUAGAUAUUUUCUUUAUUUACAUUUCAAAUUUUAUCCCCUUUCCUCAUUUCCCCUAUGCCAUCCUCCCUCCCUCUGCUCACUGACCCACCCACUUCUGCUUUGCUGUCUUGGCAUUCCCCUACACUGGGGCAUUGAGCCUUCACAAGGUCAAGGGCCUCUCCUCUCAUUGAUGUCCCACAAGGCCAUCCUCUGCUACAUAUGCAGCUGAAGCCUUAGCUUUGUGACUGGACCAUUGGAGUUGCUUAGUUUUGGAUAUAUGUCACCACCUUAAGUUAAGUCAGCCACUUUCUCCUUUAUGUUUCAGUGGUACAAUGUGUGUGUGUGUGUGUGUGUGUGUGUGUGUGUGUGUGUGUGUGCGCAGCUGCCAGAGAAGGAGAUAUGUUCUGCUGUAUUAUAUAGUUUCUGUCGUGUUCCCUUGAGAAAGGGUCUCUCAUUGAACCUGGAAUUGAACCUGGAGCUAUAUUAGCAGUUAGUAUGUCCAAGCAAAAUUUUCUAUCUUCUUCACUCCUCAGAGUGCUGGGGUAACAGGUGUGUGAGUACAGGUCCAGUAUUUUAAGUGGGUGCUAGAGAUUGAAAUUUUAAUCCUCAUGCUUUCACAACAAGCUUCUUACUCACUGAGCUUUCUCCCUACUCCUCACUUUUGUCAUACAUACUGAAUUGUUUUGAAUUUAUUUAUUAAUUUGUACACCUCCCCCUUUAGACUGUGAGCUCUUCAGUUACUUUUGUAGAUCUGUAAUUAGUAUGUAGUUGGGGCCAAAUAUUUGUUAUUUUUUUGAGAGCUAAACUGUGGAAUUUGAAGAAUUUUAUUAUUUAAUAAAGGUUAGAUAGUCUAUCAGAGUUCACAUUUUUCCUGAACAUCAGUCAAUGUGUGAUGUUCUCAUGAGGAAUCUGGAUGAACUUGGCUGAAAAGGAAGGGAGGAGCCUUGUGAAUUUCAGUACUCAGAAUGGGCGGCGCAGAGUGAGUGCCACUCAGAACAUUACAGUCCUUAGUAAACUGUGGGCCAGUCUCUGCAUCACGGGAGGUUGUGGUCUGUAAACUGAGGAAGAAACAGACUAUCUUGCAGGGUAGUUUUCUAUUUUCCUGUUAAAGGUUUUUCUUCUUUUCUACAGUUUGAAGUAAAUAUUCGGAAGGAUGAAUCAGCCAAGUUUGCAGAAGGAUUGGUCUUCAUUUCUUCCUACUUUGUCAAUGUUUUAUUUCUUCCUGUCUUGGUCUGGCAUUUGUCAUGAGGCCAGGCUGCAUCUGUGCACUAUUAUACUCAAUAUUAAUCUACUGUCAAGCCCCUUGGACACAACAUGAGACUUGUGAAUUGUGACCAUCCUGAACACUCGUCUCUCCUGAUGUGCAUACAUAUGAUGACUCAUAUUAGCCCUUCCAUCUUUAUCCAAGGAAGAAUAGGAGCAUAGUAAGUUAUAUUUAUUCUUGGAGGCCAUACUCUUGGGAACUUUAGCUAACUCUAUUUUACAUGUAACAUUAGUUAGCUUAAUAUUUUGCAUAGUUAACCCUACUAGGCUAACGUGACCUGAUGCAUUCGUUUAUACACACAGAUUUACCUAGCACAAGAAUACUGGAGUCUGUUCCUCUUUACCCACAACAUGGUGCUCAUCAAACUGCAUUUGGCU